rnacentral:rRNA from 1 species
UACGGAGGGGGCAAGCGUUGUCCGGAAUCAUUGGGCGUAAAGCGCGUGUAGGCGGCUUGGUAAGUCCGCUCUGAAAGCCCGGGGCUCAACCCCGGGAGGCGGGUGGAUACUGUCAAGCUCGAGUCCGGAAGAGGCGAGUGGAAUUCCUGGUGUAGCGGUGAAAUGCGCAGAUAUCAGGAGGAACACCAAUGGCGAAGGCAGCUCGCUGGGACGUGACUGACGCUGAGACGCGAAAGCGUGGGGAGCAAACAGG